GGUUAAGUGACUAAGCGUACACGGUGGAUGCCUAGGCAGUCAGAGGCGAUGAAGGACGUGCUAAUCUGCGAUAAGCGUCGGUGAGCUGAUAUGAAGCAUUAUUAGCCGGCGAUGUCCGAAUGGGGAAACCCAGUGCAAUCCGUUGCACUAUCGUUAAGUGAAUACAUAGCUUAACGAGGCGAACCAGGGGAACUGAAACAUCUAAGUACCCUGAGGAAAAGAAAUCAACCGAGAUUCCCCUAGUAGCGGCGAGCGAACGGGGAAGAGCCCAGAACCUGAAUCAGUUUGUGCAUUAGUGGAAGCGUCUGGAAAGUCGCGCGAUACAGGGUGAUAGCCCCGUACACGAAGGUGCACAGCUGUGAGUUCGAUGAGUAGGGCGGGACACGUGUUAUCCUGUCUGAAUAUGGGGGGACCAUCCUCCAAGGCUAAAUACUCCUGACUGACCGAUAGUGAACCAGUACCGUGAGGGAAAGGCGAAAAGAACCCCGGCGAGGGGAGUGAAAUAGAACCUGAAACCGUGUACGUACAAGCAGUGGGAGCAUCCUUCGGGGUGUGACUGCGUACCUUUUGUAUAAUGGGUCAGCGACUUAUAUUUUGUAGCAAGGUUAACCGAAUAGGGGAGCCGUAGGGAAACCGAGUCUUAACUGGGCGUCUAGUUGCAAGGUAUAGACCCGAAACCCGGUGAUCUAGCCAUGGGCAGGUUGAAGGUUGGGUAACACUAACUGGAGGACCGAACCGACUAAUGUUGAAAAAUUAGCGGAUGACUUGUGGCUGGGGGUGAAAGGCCAAUCAAACCGGGAGAUAGCUGGUUCUCCCCGAAAGCUAUUUAGGUAGCGCCUCGUGAACUCAUCUUCGGGGGUAGAGCACUGUUUCGGCUAGGGGGUCAUCCCGACUUACCAACCCGAUGCAAACUACGAAUACCGAAGAAUGUUAUCACGGGAGACACACGGCGGGUGCUAACGUCCGUCGUGAAGAGGGAAACAACCCAGACCGCCAGCUAAGGUCCCAAAGUCAUGGUUAAGUGGGAAACGAUGUGGGAAGGCAUAGACAGCCAGGAUGUUGGCUUAGAAGCAGCCAUCAUUUAAAGAAAGCGUAAUAGCUCACUGGUCGAGUCGGCCUGCGCGGAAGAUGUAACGGGGCUAAACCAUGCACCGAAGCUGCGGCAGCGACGCUUAGGCGUUGUUGGGUAGGGGAGCGUUCUGUAAGCCUGCGAAGGUGGCCUGUGAGGGCUGCUGGAGGUAUCAGAAGUGCGAAUGCUGACAUAAGUAACGAUAAAGCGGGUGAAAAGCCCGCUCGCCGGAAGACCAAGGGUUCCUGUCCAACGUUAAUCGGGGCAGGGUAAGUCGACCCCUAAGGCGAGGCUGAAAAGCGUAGUCGAUGGGAAACAGGUUAAUAUUCCUGUACUUGGUGUUAUUGCGAAGGGGGGACGGAGAAGGCUAGACCGGCCGGGCGACGGUUGUCCCGGUUUAAGCGUGUAGGUGGGGUGACUUGGCAAAUCCGGUUACCUUUAACACUGAGGCGUGAUGACGAGGCACUACGGUGCUGAAGUGGUUAAUGCCCUGCUUCCAGGAAAAGCCUCUAAGCUCCAGAUAACACUGAAUCGUACCCCAAACCGACACAGGUGGUCAGGUAGAGAAUACCAAGGCGCUUGAGAGAACUCGGGUGAAGGAACUAGGCAAAAUGGUGCCGUAACUUCGGGAGAAGGCACGCUGGCACGUAGGUGAAGUCCCUCGCGGAUGGAGCCGAAGCCAGUCGAAGAUACCAGCUGGCUGCAACUGUUUAAUAAAAACACAGCACUCUGCAAACACGAAAGUGGACGUAUAGGGUGUGACGCCUGCCCGGUGCUGGAAGGUUAAUUGAUGGGGUCAGCCGCAAGGCGAAGCUCUUGAUCGAAGCCCCAGUAAACGGCGGCCGUAACUAUAACGGUCCUAAGGUAGCGAAAUUCCUUGUCGGGUAAGUUCCGACCUGCACGAAUGGCGUAAUGAUGGCCAGGCUGUCUCCACCCGAGACUCAGUGAAAUUGAACUCGCUGUGAAGAUGCAGUGUACCCGCGGCAAGACGGAAAGACCCCGUGAACCUUUACUAUAGCUUGACACUGAACAUUGAACCUUGAUGUGUAGGAUAGGUGGGAGGCUUUGAAGUGUGGACGCCAGUCUGCAUGGAGCCGACCUUGAAAUACCACCCUUUAAUGUUUGAUGUUCUAACCUGGUCCCGUGAUCCGGGAUAGGGACAGUGUCUGGUGGGUAGUUUGACUGGGGCGGUCUCCUCCCAAAGAGUAACGGAGGAGCACGAAGGUUAGCUAAUCCUGGUCGGACAUCAGGAGGUUAGUGCAAAGGCAUAAGCUAGCUUGACUGCGAGAGUGACGGCUCGAGCAGGUGCGAAAGCAGGUCUUAGUGAUCCGGUGGUUCUGAAUGGAAGGGCCAUCGCUCAACGGAUAAAAGGUACUCCGGGGAUAACAGGCUGAUACCGCCCAAGAGUUCAUAUCGACGGCGGUGUUUGGCACCUCGAUGUCGGCUCAUCACAUCCUGGGGCUGAAGUAGGUCCCAAGGGUAUGGCUGUUCGCCAUUUAAAGUGGUACGCGAGCUGGGUUUAGAACGUCGUGAGACAGUUCGGUCCCUAUCUGCCGUGGGCGUUGGAAGAUUGAGAGGGGCUGCUCCUAGUACGAGAGGACCGGAGUGGACGCACCGCUGGUGUUCGGGUUGUGAUGCCAAUUGCAUUGCCCGGUAGCUACGUGCGGAAAAGAUAAGCGCUGAAAGCAUCUAAGCGCGAAACUUGCCUCGAGAUGAGUCUUCCCUUGGACCUUGAGUCCACUAAAGGAACGUUUAAGACUAAGACGUUGAUAGGCUGGGUGUGUAAGCGUAGCGAUACGUUGAGCUAACCAGUACUAAUGAUCCGUGAGACUUAACCUU
rnacentral:rRNA from 1 species